rnacentral:rRNA from 1 species
GCAUAUCAAUAAGCGGAGGAAAAGAAACCAACAGGGAUUGCCUCAGUAACGGCGAGUGAAGCGGCAACAGCUCAAAUUUGAAAUCUGGAGCCUUCGGCUUCCGAGUUGUAAUUUGAAGAGGAUGUUUCGGUUGCGGCUUGGGCCUAAGUUCCUUGGAACAGGACGUCAUGGAGGGUGAGAAUCCCGUAAAUGGCCCCCGGCUUGCUUCCAUGUGAAGCUCCUUCGAAGAGUCGAGUUGUUUGGGAAUGCAGCUCAAAAUGGGUGGUAAAUUUCAUCUAAAGCUAAAUAUUGGCGGGAGACCGAUAGCGCACAAGUAGAGUGAUCGAAAGAUGAAAAGCACUUUGAAAAGAGAGUUAAACAGUACGUGAAAUUGUUGAAAGGGAAGCGCUUGCAAUCAGACUCGCUUUCGGUUGAUCAACGUUCCUUCUGGUUCGUGCACUCUGCCGUUUGCGGGCCAGCAUCAGUUGGGGCGGCGGGACAAAGACGGCGGGAAUGUGGCUCCCCUCGGGGAGUGUUAUAGCCCACCGUGCCAUGCCGCCAGCCCCGAUUGAGGUCCGCGGUUCGCCUAGGAUGCUGGCUUAAUGGUUGUAAGCGACCCGUCUUGAAACACGGACCAAGGAGUCUAACAUCUAUGCGAGUCUUUGGGUGCCAAACCCAUGGGCGGAAUGAAAGUGAACGGAGGUGGGAGUCCUCGGAUGCACCAUCGACCGAUCCUGAUGUUUUCGGAUGGAUUUGAGUAUGAGCAUAGCUGUUGGGACCCGAAAGAUGGUGAACUAUGCCUGAAUAGGGUGAAGCCAGAGGAAACUCUGGUGGAGGCUCGCAGCGGUUUCUGACGUGCAAAUCGAUCGUCAAAUUUGGGUAUAGGGGGCGAAAGACUAAUCGAACCAUCUAGUAGCUGGUUCCUGCGA